rnacentral:tRNA from 1 species
GGAUGUGGCUCAGUGGUAGAGUACUUGCCUGGUAUGCAUGAGGCCCUGGGUUUGAUCCCUAGUAACACA